rnacentral:rRNA from 1 species
GAUGUAACGCUAGGCGGCGUGCCUAACACAUGCAAGUCGAGCGAAGCGGAUUUAACGGAAGUUUUACGGAUGGAAGUUAAAUUGACUGAGCGGCGGACGGGUGAGUAACGCGUGGGUAACCUGCCUCAUACAGGGGGAUAACAGUUAGAAAUGACUGCUAAUACCGCAUAAGCGCACAGCAUCGCAUGAUGCAGUGUGAAAAACUCCGGUGGUAUGAGAUGGACCCGCGUCUGAUUAGCUAGUUGGUGAGGUAACGGCCCACCAAGGCAACGAUCGGUAGCCGGACUGAGAGGUUGAACGGCCACAUUGGGACUGAGACACGGCCCAG